UCUUAAGAAGUCACAGAUGGCCGUCUGAAAUCAACAACCGGUGCACCGAGCGAGCGAAGUGACGCGGUUAUGUACGCAAAACAAUCGCGUCGAACGCGGAGAACAUUUUGAAACAUGUAAGGAGCCGUUUUCGCGGGUGCAGUCGCCGUUGAAUUUUACGUUUAUUUUUGUUCUACGGCAAGCAGUGAAAAGCGAAAACGUCGUUACGAUCCCGUCGUUCCGUUUACGAAUCAGGUUUUAUCGUCGGUGACGUACGGUUUUACGGAACACCGAGGCCAAACACAAAUCGACGCACGAGGAUGAGCGCGAACAAUGUACAGGCACUCUUCGCGUGUUCCAGAUGUUUUUCGAGGCAUCCGUUCGAGGAGCUUUCCCCAGGACAGCAGUUGUGCAAGGAGUGCAGAGGUGCAUUCCCUGUGGUGAAAUAAAGGGUAAUACUAGUACGAUAUGUAAAAAGUGUGAGCAGAAUGUGAAGUCCUAUGGUAAGCCGUCAGCCUGUGAGUAUUGCAAUACCAUAGCUGCGUUUAUUGGUAGCAAGUGUCAACGAUGUACAAAUUCGGAGAAACGUUAUGGACCACCAGUCACUUGCGAACAAUGCAAACAGAAGUGUGCCUUUGACAGACAAGACGAAGACAAAAAGGUCGAUGGAAAAUUAUUAUGUUGGCUGUGUACGCUGUCCUACAAACGAGCAUUGGCGAAAACGAAACAGUCAGACGCUGAGAGGAGGGCGCAUUUGAAACUGGCGCAACAACGGGCGGCGAAACACAAAGAACAAAAAUUAAAAGGUCACAAUAAAAGACCGCACAGAGUGGACGUUACGAAAUUACCGCCACAGUCGGAAGGUCCGGAGACGAAUGGCCCUGCUCCAGUGAAAGCGGCAAGGAUGGUUGGCGUGCACGAUCCGCACGAUCCAAAUAGUUCGGAUCAUGUGGUGGCGGUUACGCAACUUAAAGAGAAAAUAGCCCACCUUCAAAAACAGAUCACGAUUAAGGAUGGGCAAUUACUUGCUAAGGAUAGACAGAUUACAGAACUGAAGGCGAAAAACUUCACGUCGGAAGCGGAACUGCGCAACAAAAUGAAAACAACGGAGAAGGAGUACGAAAAUAAGGUAUCGACUAUGCAACUCAAGAUCUCCACAUUAUUAAAAGAAGUUGCUUCAUUGUCGAAGAGUUCCAGACGGGGCGACAGACUGGCUGCCACGAAAACGGAAGCUGGGACCAACAGCGGAAGCGGAACAGACAGUCCUGUACCUUGAUAAGGUCGGAAAGUAAAAAUACUCCAUCGGAAGCAAGGAAAGUAGCGCAGGAAUUUUCUACAAUACCAAAGAGAAAACACCGAACAGCAAUCGUGACUCCAUCGCGAGAUGAACACAUGGCGCGCGUCGCCGGGGAACCGGCCGGAUGGAGUUCGUCCGAGCGGAGCGCGAUUAAAAGUGAAGCCUCUUUGACCACGUGGCCGGAGGUCAUAGUGGCGUAGGCAGACGUUAACUCUCUUCGUCUGGUUGGCGGGCAAGGUGGAAGAGCGCCGUGGCGGCGGCUGUGCGAGGCCUGGUUCGUCGAGCGGUAUGAUUAGGUCCACAGAGGCGGGAGGUGAAAUCCAGUUACUUUUCAAGGUACUUUUUCGGGACGCUAUUCAUCACCGAAGAUCUUUCGUCGAAUGUUACUAGAAUCGUUAGUUGACUAGUCCAUAUUUUCCAAACUAUUUUAUAUUUUUCCAUUAAAAUAUUCACGUAACUUGAGAAGAUAGAUGCAAUUAACUGUACAAAUUUUAAAUUCAAUAUCUCAAAUAGUUUUUCUCUUAUAAAAUUUUUACUGCUCCAAAUAUUCAUCACCGAAGAUCUUUCAUCGAAUGUUACAAGAACCGAUAGUUGACUAGUCUAUAUCUUCGAAACUAUUUUAUAUUUUUCCAUGAAAAAUUUCACAUAACUUCACGAGAUAGAUGCAAUUAACUAUGCAAAGUUUAAAUUCAAUAUCUCAAAUAGUUUUUCUUUUAUAAAAUUUUUACUCCAGCUAUUCAUCACCGAAGAUCUUUCGUCGAAUGUUACAAGAACCGAUAGUUGAUUAGCCCAUAUUUCCGAAACUAUUUUAUAUUCUUCCAUGAAAAAAUUCACGUUACUUGAGGAGAUAGAUGCAAUUAACUGUGCAAAGUUUAAAUUCAAUAUUUCAAAUAGUUUUUCUUUUAUAAAAUUUUUACUCCAGCUAUUCAUCACCGAAGAUCUUUCGUCGAAUGUUACUAGAAUCGUUAGUUGACUAGUCCAUAUUUUCCAAACUAUUUUAUAUUUUUCCAUUAAAAAAUUCACGUAACUUGAGGAGAUAGAUGCAAUUAACUAUGCAAAGUUUAAAUUCAAUAUCUCAAAUAGUUUUUCUUUUAUAAAAUUUUUACUCCAGCUAUUCAUCACCGAAGAUCUUUCGUCGAAUGUUACAAGAACCGAUAGUUGAUUAGCCCAUAUUUCCGAAACUAUUUUAUAUUCUUCCAUGAAAAAAUUCACGUUACUUGAGGAGAUAGAUGCAAUUAACUGUGCAAAGUUUAAAUUCAAUAUCUCGAUUAGUUUUUCUUUAAUAAAAUUUUUACUCAUCGUCGUUUGGGUCAAGUUAUUCUUUCACGGUCAAUUUCGGGGAGUUGGCCAACGCGGAGGGUUCGAGAUUCGAAAGUUACAUCACUGUUUAUUUCCCCCUCUCCUCGCCCGAACGGACUCCCUCUCGACUUCGCUGCUGAACGUCGCGGAAAGUCGACGGGCAAGGUGGCACGACCCGGAUUACGCUCGAGUCGUCGGUUCCUUCGCACUUUUCUUCGCUCCAGAGUCCUCUCUCAGGGUCAAGGCACUCUCCGGUUCCGUAAAUCCUUCCUGAUUCUUCGGCGGAAGGCUCGAGCUCAUAGCUGGCGCUCCUCCGGUGGCCUCUGCACACCGCUGACCACUUCUGAUACUUCUGACAACGUAUAACGAUUAAUAUGGGCUACUGCAAGCCUCUCACAGCCUCUGCUGGCUUCUGCUGGCCUCUGCUAACCUCUGCCAGCAUGUGCGGGCUUCUGCCUGCCUCUGCUGGCCCCUGCUGACCUCUGCUGACCACUUCUGAUACUUCUGACAACGUAUAACGAUUACGAUUGGCUACUGCUUGCGGCUGCUUGUCACUGCUUGCCACUGCUGGUCUCUGUUGGCCCCUGCUGACCACUGCUGACCACUGCUGACCACUCCCGAUGCUUCUGACAACG